rnacentral:rRNA from 1 species
GAAGCACGGACCAAGGAGUCUAACAUGUACGCGAGUCAUUGAGAAAUGAAACUCAAAGGCGUAAUGAAAGUGAAGGUUUGUUUAUACGAACUGAGGAGAGAUCAUGGCGUGAUUUGCUAUUGCGAAAGCUUUAGUGAGUUGAAUGUAUGCGCAUCUCUUGGACGUCUAUACCUUCGAAGGUGGGGCGUACCUAGAGCGUACACGUUGGGACCCGAAAGAUGGUGAACUAUGCCUGGUCAGAACGAAGCCAGGGGAAACCCUGGUGGAGGUUCGUAGCGAUUCUGACGUGCAAAUCGAUCGUCGGAACUGGGUAUAGGGGCGAAAGACUAAUCGAACCAUCUAGUAGCUGGUUCCUUCCGAAGUUUCCCUCAGGAUAGCUGGCGCUUAAACCAGUCUCAUCCGGUAAAGCGAAUGAUUAGAGGCCUUGGGGCCGAAACGACCUCAACCUAUUCUCAAACUUUAAAUGGGUGAGAAGUCAGGCUUGCUUGAUCGAAGCUCUGACAUUUUUUGGAUGGUGAGUGCCAAGUGGGCCACUCUUGGUAAGCAGAACUGGCGCUGUGGGAGUG